rnacentral:rRNA from 1 species
CAGUCGCCGCGGUAAUACGGAGGGGGCUAGCGUUGUUCGGAAUCACUGGGCGUAAAGCGCACGUAGGCGGACACUUAAGUCAGAGGUGAAAUCCCAAGGCUCAACCUUGGAACUGCCUUUGAUACUGGGUGUCUUGAGUUCGGGAGAGGUGAGUGGAACUGCGAGUGUAGAGGUGAAAUUCGUAGAUAUUCGCAAGAACACCAGUGGCGAAGGCGGCUCACUGGCCCGAUACUGACGCUGAGGUGCGAAAGCGUGGGGAGCAAACAGGAUUAGAUACCCCAGUAGUCCCUGUCUCUUAUAC